UACGGGGGGGGCUAGCGUUGCUCGGAAUCACUGGGCGUAAAGGGGGCGUAGGCGGGGCUUUAAGUCAGGGGUGAAAUCCUGGAGCUCAACUCCAGAACUGCCUUUGAUACUGAGGAUCUUGAGUUCGGGAGAGGUGAGUGGAACUGCGAGUGUAGAGGUGAAAUUCGUAGAUAUUCGCAAGAACACCAGUGGCGAAGGCGGCUCACUGGCCCGAUACUGACGCUGAGGCACGAAAGCGUGGGGAGCAAACAGG
rnacentral:rRNA from 1 species